CCAGAGACAGGAAGUCUAACCGUGACCCAAACAGAAGGCAGGGUGACCUUCACAGAAGGACAACCUAUAUUUCUCAAUUGCACUUAUUCCAAAGGCAUAGAUUAUCAACCAAGUCCAUUCUGGUACAUUCAAUAUCUUGGACAACCACCUAAGCUUUUUCAGAGCACUUUUUUGACACCUAAUGUAGACAUUAGCCUCCCUCAAAACUUCACCGCCAUCCAUAAUAAAGUGGGAAUGACUUUCCACAUGAAGAAAUCAGUCAGCCAACUGAAUGAUUCAGCUAUCUACUUCUGUGCUGUGAGAAACACAGUUAAGAUUUUCUUUGGAAGUGGGACUAGACUGGUCAUCAUGCCAAGUAAGUUU